rnacentral:rRNA from 1 species
AGUGAACGCUGGCGGCGUGUCUAACACAUGCAAGUCGAACGAUGAAGAGCAGCUUGCUGCUCGGAUUAGUGGCGCACGGGUGAGUAAUGCAUAGGUAAUGUGCCCCUUAGUCUGGGAUAGCCACUGGAAACGGUGAUUAAUACUAGAUACUCCUUCUUGUCUUAAGGCAAGUCGGGAAAGUUUUUCGCUAAGGGAUCAGCCUAUGUCCUAUCAGGUAGUUGGUGAGGUAACGGCUCACCAAGCCAAUGACGGGUAUCUCGUUUGAGAGGAUGAUCAGACACCCUGGAACUGAGACACGGUCCAGACUCCUACGGGAGGCAGCAGUGAGGAAUAUUGCACAAUGGAGGAAACUCUGAUGCAGCAACGCCGCGUGGAGGAUGACGCAUUUCGGUGUGUAAACUCCUUUUAAGAGGGAAGAUUAUGACGGUACCUCUUGAAUAAGCACCGGCUAACUCCGUGCCAGCCGCCGCCGUAA